rnacentral:lncRNA from 1 species
ACCGGAAUGCUACACGGUGCUCAUGAUCCCGAAGGACCACAAGCUAACCCAUGACUGAUAUCUGUACCUGUAACUGCAUAAUAUUCAUAUAAAAUGCGGAAACAUGAACAAAGAGGGUAUAAGGUUCAAUCUUGAAUAAUAAGAUAUCUGAAAUAAGGUGGUAUCACAGUACCAAAACAAAAUUGAAAAUACUAAAGUCUAAAUCUGAAAACUCUAUAAUCAUCUGAAAGCCUCUAAACUGUCUGAAUAAGGAGUUGAAG